GACGGAGGGUGCAAGCGUUGUUCGGAUUGACUGGGCGUAAAGGGCGUGUAGGCGGUUGGUCAAGUCUGAUGUGAAAGCCCGGAGCUCAGCUCCGGAAGGGCAUCGGAAACUAACCAGCUGGAGGGCGAUAGAGGAGGGCGGAAUUCCUGGUGUAGCGGUGAAAUGCGUAGAUAUCAGGAGGAACACCGGCGGCGAAGGCGGCCCUCUGGAUCGUUGCUGACGCUGAGACGCGAAAGCGUGGGGAGCGAACAGG
rnacentral:rRNA from 1 species